rnacentral:lncRNA from 1 species
AGCAAUGUGUCGAGGCUACUGUCCUGCUCAACAUAGAAGGAUUCAAAAUGUCUUAUGGUGCCUACAUUGGUUGUAAUAAACAUGACAUUGGUUUCAGUGCAUCGUUCUUUGUGACAGCUUUGUAGUGGAGACUGACAAGUCUCGUUAAUUAUCAUAACAUGUUAUUACAGUUUAUGAUGUUUAUGUCAAGCUCAAGUCAUGUUUAUGACAACUUUAUGUUGGCAUUAAAGAAAGCCAAUUCAAAUAAGAUGUUACUAGUCUAUUUCUGUUGGGUAGAUUAGGAAGGGGGACAGAGAGUGAUGUAGGGACAGAGAGAUACUCAAUCAAAUGAAUCCCUUUUAGCGCUUUCUACAAAACACAGCGAGGGCUGGGGCAGGACCAUCUGUAGGCAGGAGAUGACCCGACGCAGGAACUACCUAUCAACUUAUUGUACACUCAUGACGGAGAGUUAGGAUCACUGGCAUUUCCCUGGUCUUCUGGUUGGACGAUCAUACGGGAAGAUGGGGCAACGUCCUAACCUGGUCUUAAGUCUUCUGGUUGGAGGAGCAUACAGGGAAGAUGGGGCAACGUCCUACCUGGUUUAGACAUCUUCUGGUUGGGGAUCAUACAGGGAAGAUGGGGCAACGGUCCUAACCUGGUCUUCUGGUUGGAGGUCAUACAGGGAAGAUGGGGCAACGUCCUAACCUGGUCUUAAGACAUCUUCUGGUUGGAGGAGCAUACAGGGAAGAUGGGGCACGGUCCUAACCUGGUCUUCUGGUUGGAGGAUCAUACAGGGAAGAUGGGGCGGGCGGUCCCUAACCUGUGGUCUUAAGACUUUUUUGGUUGGAGGAUCCUACAGGAAAGGGGGCAACGUCCUAAACCUGGGUCUUAAGACAUCUUCUGGUUGGAGGAGCAUACAGGGAAGAUGGGGCAACGUCCUAACCUGGUCUUAAGACAUCUUCUGGUUGGAGGAUCAUACAGGGAAGAUGGGGCAACGGUCCUAACCUGGUCUUC